CGUCAUUUCCCCUAUGAACACGUCUUUGUCAGAAUAGCCGGUUUGGAUCAAUGAUGGCAGCCAGCUUGACGAUUAAAUGAAAGCGAUGGAAUGCUGGCCUGCUCCUACUCCAUGCUUCUCUGGAUCAUCCCAGCAGAUGUGGACUCGCCUCUUCUAAUCCAAGCCCCUCUAAUCUCCACCAUCUGCUGGCACCACACCCACAUCUGGACCCCCGCCUCCUGUUUAAGUCCCGCCUCCUGUUUAUGUCCCGCCUCCUGUUUAUGUCCCGCCUCCUGGUGUGUGGUCUGGACGAUGGCUGCAAAGAUUGAACAAGCAACAUGUGACUCACAACUGUAUACCGCCGCUUUGUAAAUCACGCCUUUUAUUCCCAAGCCGAGAAGACGGCUACGUCAUGAGGACACCUCAAGGCUGCAUGGAGCAAAGUUGACAACUUAUUGGCAAGAACGUCUUUCAAGCUUUGCUGACAAACACCUGGAACGCAGCACCCAGAGGUCAGAGGUCGAGGCGGUCCAGCCGGGAGGGAAGGCGACAUUCCGAGGCUUUCGCCGACGGGCUGGGCGGAGGGACAAAAAAAUAACGCUCGUCCGAAUCCCCGCCCACUCUGUCCAAAGGAGGGCGGAGUUGGGCAAACUGCAAAGUCUCCCCGAGUGAGAGUGGAGGCGGUUGCCACGGUGAUGUGAUCGGGAGGUGUGACCUCGACGACACGGAAUCCUUCCCGCCUCCCGAUUUUCGCACCUUUGAACUUCCUGUUCCCCUUCUGGCUCGCAGGGGACGUGUCAGGAUGUCUCACACACACACACACACGCACACACACACACACACACAGAUAGAUUUCAAGGUUGCGUGAAUUGAAAAGUGAAAAUGAGUGGGAUGGGUGUGUAACUGCCGUGGAGUCACAUGACCUUGUGAGCUGGGUGGGCCGCUGACAGGUUUAUGGGGGAUAAAAAGCUGCUCCUGGUGUUCAAGUCUCCUUCAAAACACACUGAAUGCUACGCCUGCUGUCCUAUACAUCAUGUGCUCUAAAAAAGUCAAACAUUCUCUAAUAAUAAAGAAAAGGUUAUAUUUGUGGCUGUGGGCAACCUUCUAACAGUUUCCCACCUAGGCCUUCAGUGAUGUCCGACUUCAAUGAUGACGUCUCAAAAUAGCAGCAUUGAUGUCACCACAUGACCAUUGCUGGACAAAUACUAUACAGGAACACAUUUACGCACUACUGUGCAUUGAAACACAUCAACAGUGUACAAAACGGGUUAUUUUCUGGCGCAUUUAAAAAUCAAUAAACCCGCAUCAGCAAUCGAAAGUGAGUACCGUUGAUAUUUCUUCGCCUUUUCGCAUAUUACAACUUGUGGUUGCGUGUCCAAUCACCGUCACGUUUAACGCAAGGCUGCCUGGAUGGGCUACUGUCAACAACUCUGAUUGGCUAUGGGAACUGUCUAUCAACUGUAUGUGUUCUGUUCCUUGACACUGCACAGCCACCACUAAUGUUGAUUCAAGCAGUGCUGGCAACAUGCUCGCUGAAUUGUUAUUGGAUAAAAACAGGAAGCAGUGGAGCCUAAUAUGACAUGAAGAGAAUAUGAUCAAUACUUUUAUAGAUUUAUGGAAAGUGUAUUGGAAAUAAAAUGUCCGUUUGUUCAUUUAUGACCAUGAUUUAUGUUGGGCCAGCAGAGACUUCUAAUGUAGUUUUACUACAGAAGAGAAGGGAUGCCUUGGGGGAUCUCCCAUAGGAGGAAGAGGAGCAGGGUUAUCCAUUGUGCAAUGCAGUCUGCCGAAAAUGACAAAAAGUGCAGUCAAAGUUGGAGUUGCCGCAAAACACUGUGGAGGGGGGCGUGGCCUGCGGGCCUGCAGCGGAAUUUGACAUAAAUACAUAUUGAACAUCUUAAAGUGCUUUUU